rnacentral:lncRNA from 1 species
CUCAUCUAUACUAUUAAACGAGAAGACCUCAUUUUUGGUGUCGCUUCUCUUCUUUCCAGAAUAAAUUAAUCAACACGCCUCUGUGUCCUUUAGGUACAGUGCAUAGUCGCAUUUGUCAUCCAUUCAUAUGAUUAUUCAGAUUGAGUUAUUUUAGGAGAAAAACGAGAAAAAAGGCAUCCGGAUAUUGUCCCGUCAUUGUACGAAAUUUUAAGUCAGA